GCCCCACUGUGACCAUUGUGGCUGCUACUGGGGAUUUAAGUUGUGUUGUUAUUAAGUAUGCCGACCAGGGGGGUCGUUACCUCUAACCCGCAUAACGCAAGAAAAUAGACUAUUCCCCCUGUAACAAACCAUAUGGAGAUAUUUUCCCCGCCGAGACUUUCCAGGAGUGGAUUGGGGACUGGAGGGUACCUUCACACGUAGGCGUAUGAGACAAGGGGAAGGGGGGCAACUGUCCUCCCCCCCCCCCACAAAAAAAAAAAAAAAACUUCAGAAAACAAUGCAAAAUGUUAGGGAAAAUGAAGAAAAUUCGGGCGGAUUUAUCCGAAAAUAGGUUUAAUUCAGGUUAUUUCAUCACAAUCUUCCAUGAAAAUUUGGGCAAACUUUGAACUCUUCCCCUGGAAAGCGUCAGCCCUGUACUGCUAUGACUUCACACAUCUCAUCCGCC